GAAAUGCGAUAAGUAAUGCGAAUUGCAGAAUUUCCGUGAGUCAUCGAAUCUUUGAACGCACAUUGCGCCCAUUGGUAUUCCGAUGGGCAUGCCUGUUCGAGCGUCAUUAUCCCCCCUCAAACUUUUACGUUUGGUGUUGGAUCCACGUUGUGCGAGUCGACAACGGGUCUCAAAGACAAUGACGGUGUCCGUGGGACCCUCGGUGCAAUGAGCUUCUAGGAGCACGCAUCGAGGUCUACAGGACCUUCGGGGCCGAUCUUCCUGUUUUACUCUUCUCAGGUUGACCUCGGAUCAGGUAGGAAUACCCGCUGAACUUAAGCAUAUCAAUAAGCGGAGGAUUGUCCUCUUAUACACAUCUCCGGAGCCC
rnacentral:misc_RNA from 1 species